UACGGAGGGUGCAAGCGUUAAUCGGAAUUACUGGGCGUAAAGCGUGCGCAGGCGGUUUGUUAAGUCCGUUGUGAAAGCCCCGAGCUCAACUUGGGAAUUGCAGUGGAUACUGGCAGGCUGGAGUACGGUAGAGGAAGGUGGAAUUCCCGGUGUAGCAGUGAAAUGCGUAGAUAUGCGGAGGAACACCGAUGGCGAAGGCAAUCCCCUGGGCCUGCACUGACGCUCAUGCACGAAAGCGUGGGGAGCAAACAGG
rnacentral:rRNA from 1 species